rnacentral:rRNA from 1 species
UGCAAGUCGAGGGGUAGCAGGGUAGCAAUACCGCUGACGACCGGCGCACGGGUGAGUAACACGUAUCCAACCUUCCCAUAACUCAGGGAUAGCCUUUCGAAAGAAAGAUUAAUACCUGAUAGUACUUUUUCAAGGCAUCUUGAGAAAGUUAAAGAUUUAUUGGUUAUGGAUGGGGAUGCGUUCCAUUAGAUAGUUGGUGAGGUAACGGCUCACCAAGUCUUCGAUGGAUAGGGGUUCUGAGAGGAAGGUCCCCCACAUUGGUACUGAGACACGGACCAAACUCCUACGGGAGGCAGCAGUGAGGAAUAUUGGUCAAUGGGCGAGAGCCUGAACCAGCCAAGUAGCGUGAAGGAUGAAGGUCCUAUGGAUUGUAAACUUCUUUUAUAGUAGAAUAAAGUGAUCCACGUGUGGAUUUUUGUAUGUAUACUAUGAAUAAGGAUCGGCUAACUCCGUGCCAGCCGCAGC